rnacentral:rRNA from 1 species
UACAGAGGGCGCAAGCGUUAAUCGGAAUUACUGGGCGUAAAGCGUGCGUAGACGGUUACGUAAGUCAGAUGUGAAAGCCCCGGGCUCAACCUGGGAAUUGCAUUUGAGACUGCGUAGCUAGGGUGCGGAAGAGGGAAGCGGAAUUUCCGGUGUAGCGGUGAAAUGCGUAGAUAUCGGAAGGAACACCAGUGGCGAAAGCGGCUUCCUGGUCCAGCACCGACGUUCAGGCACGAAAGCGUGGGGAGCAAACAGG